CCGGAUCGGGCCGGUGCUGCGCCUGUUCGUCGCUUUGGCCGGCGGCGUGCUGCUUGCGAUUGCGUUCGAUUCGCUCGAUCCGGUC
rnacentral:tRNA from 2 species